AGUGAACGCUGGCGGUAGGCCUAACACAUGCAAGUCGAACGGCAGCACAGUAAGAGCUUGCUCUUACGGGUGGCGAGUGGCGGACGGGUGAGGAAUACAUCGGAAUCUACUUUUUCGUGGGGGAUAACGUAGGGAAACUUACGCUAAUACCGCAUACGACCUACGGGUGGAAGCAGGGGAUCUUCGGACCUUGCGCGAUUGAAUGAGCCGAUGUCGGAUUAGCUAGUUGGCGGGGUAAAGGCCCACCAAGGCGACGAUCCGUAGCUGGUCUGAGAGGAUGAGCAGCCACACUGGAAGUGAGACACGGUCAAGACUCCUACGGGAGGCAGCGGUGGGGAAUAUUGGACAAUGGGCGCAAGCCUGAUCCUGCCAUACCGCGUGGGUGAAGAAGGCCUUCGGGUUGUAAAGCCCUUUUGUUGGGAAAGAAAAGCAGCAGGUUAAUACCCCGCUGUUCUGACGGUACCCAAAGAAUAAGCACCGGCUAACUUCGUG
rnacentral:rRNA from 1 species